rnacentral:rRNA from 1 species
GACGUAGGGCGCAAGCGUUGUCCGGAUUUAUUGGGCGUAAAGAGCUCGUAGGCGGCUCGGUAAGUCAGGUGUGAAAACUCUAGGCUCAACCUAGAGACGCCACCUGAUACUGCCGUGGCUAGAGUCGGGUAGGGGAGCAUGGAAUUCCUGGUGUAGCGGUGAAAUGCGCAGAUAUCAGGAGGAACACCAGUGGCGAAGGCGGUGCUCUGGGCCGGAACUGACGCUGAGGAGCGAAAGCGUGGGGAGCAAACAGG